UUUGCCUGUGACUGAAUACCAUUGGUUGGUUUGUGGAGACGUGUGGUCGAGGUUUCGACCCUCAUAAACGAGACGGCUGGAGCCAACAUUAGCCUGGCUUGUUCGGGGUCCCGCUUGUGUUGGCGGAGCAUAUAUAACCGGGUCACUUGGCUGUGGAGCGUCAGUACAGCUUGGGAGACUCUCAGUGUUGUCUGUGUAUCCAUAAUGUUUACUAUGCGUUGUGUUAGCCUGGUUCUCCUGCUGGUGCUCAUGGCUCUACUACACUUCUCGACGGCUCAAUAUUUUCACGAUCGUCGGUACCAACCAGUGUAUGG